AUUGAACGCUGGCGGCAGGCCUAACACAUGCAAGUCGAGCGGAGCGGCGGACGGGUGAGUAAUGCCUAGGAAUCUGCCUGGUAGUGGGGGAUAACGUCCGGAAACGGGCGCUAAUACCGCAUCCUAUCAGAUGAGCCUAGGUCGGAUUAGCUAGUUGGUGGGGUAAAGGCCUCCCAAGGCGACGAUCCGGAACUGGUCUGAGAGGAUGAUCAGCCCCACUGGAAAUGAGACACGGUCCAGCCUCAUACGGGAGGCAGCAGUGGGGAAUAUUGGAAAAUGGGCGAAAGAAUGAUCCAGCCAUGCCGCGUGUGUGAAGAAGGUCUUCGGAUUGUAAAGCACGUUAAGUUGGGAGGCGUUACCAACAGAAUAAGCACCGGCGAACUUCGUGCCAGCAGCCGCGGUAUAC
rnacentral:rRNA from 1 species